rnacentral:lncRNA from 1 species
GUGGGUGGGUGUGUGUUGGGUGGGUGGGUCUGAGCAUUAUCAGCGUAACCUGGUUCUGCACCCUGAGAACACGUGCUGCUCAUUUCAGCUCAGAGAAGGUUUCACUUCUUCAGUCCGUUAGCUCUUCUCUUUCGUCUGUAACACUGAGACAAACAGCCCAACUGUUCCCUGUACCUGCUCCCCUUCUUCAGUCCUUUAGCUCUUCUCUCUCGUCUGUAACACUGAGACAAACAGCCCAACUGUUCCCUGUACCUGCUCCCCUUCUUCAGUCCGUUAGCUCUUCUCUCUCGUCUGUAACACUGAGACAAACAUCCCAACUGUUCCCUAUACCUGCUCCCCUUCUUCAGUCCUUUAGCUCUUCUCUCUCGUCUGUAACACUGAGACAAACAGCCCAACUGUUCCCUAUACCUGCUCCCCUUCUUCAGUCCGUUAGCUCUUCUCUCUCGCCUGUAACACUGAGACAAACAGCCCAACUGUUCCCUGUACCUGCUCCCCUUCUUCAGUCCGUUAGCUCUUCUCUCUCGUCUGUAACACUGAGACAAACAGCCCAACUGUUCCCUGUACCUGCUCCCCUUCUUCAGUCCUUUAGCUCUUCUCUCUCGUCUGUAACACUGAGACAAACAGCCCAACUGUUCCCUGUACCUGCUCCCCUUCUUCAGUCCGUUAGCUCUUCUCUCUCGUCUGUAACACUGAGACAAACAGCCCAACUGUUCCCUGUACCUGCUCCCCUUCUUCAGUCCUUUAGCUCUUCUCUCUCGUCUGUAACACUGAGACAAACAGCCCAACUGUUCCCUGUACCUGCUCCCCUUCUUCAGUCCGUUAGCUCUUCUCUCUCGUCUGUAACACUGAGACAAACAGCCCAACUGUUCCCUGUACCUGCUCCCCUUCUUCAGUCCUUUAGCUCUUCUCUCUCGUCUGUAACACUGAGACAAACAGCCCAACUGUUCCCUGUACCUGCUCCCCUUCUUCAGUCCGUUAGCUCUUCUCUCUCGCCUGUAACACUGAGACAAACAGCCCAACUGUUCCCUGUACCUGCUCCCCUUCUUCAGUCCGUUAGCUCUUCUCUUUCGUCUGUAACACUGAGACAAACAGCCCAACUGUUCCCUGUACCUGCUCCCCUUCUUCAGUCCUUUAGCUCUUCUCUCUCGUCUGUAACACUGAGACAAACAGCCCAACUGUUCCCUGUACCUGCUCCCCUUCUUCAGUCCGUUAGCUCUUCUCUCUCGUCUGUAACACUGAGACAAACAGCCCAACUGUUCCCUAUACCUGCUCCCCUUCUUCAGUCCGUUAGCUCUUCUCUCUCGUCAUCUGUAACACUGAGACAAACAGCCCAACUGUUCCCUGUACCUGCUCCCCUUCUUCAGUCCGUUAGCUCUUCUCUCUCGUCUGUAACACUGAGACAAACAGCCCAACUGUUCCCUGUACCUGCUCCCCUUCUUCAGUCCGUUAGCUCUUCUCUCUCGCCUGUAACACUGAGACAAACAUCCCAACUGUUCCCUGUACCUGCUCCCCUUCUUCAGUCCGUUAGCUCUUCUCUCUCGUCUGUAACACUGAGACAAACAGCCCAACUGUUCCCUGUACCUGCUCCCCUUCUUCAGUCCGUUAGCUCUUCUCUCUCGUCUGUAACACUGAGACAAACAGCCCAACUGUUCCCUAUACCUGCUCCCCUUCUUCAGUCCGUUAGCUCUUCUCUCUCGUCUGUAACACUGAGACAAACAUCCCAACUGUUCCCUAUACCUGCUCCCCUUCUUCAGUCCGUUAGCUCUUCUCUCUCGCCUGUAACACUGAGACAAACAUCCCAACUGUUCCCUAUACCUGCUCCCCUUCUUCAGUCCGUUAGCUCUUCUCUCUCGUCUGUAACACUGAGACAAACAGCCCAACUGUUCCCUAUACCUGCUCCCCUUCUUCAGUCCGUUAGCUCUUCUCUCUCGCCUGUAACACUGAGACAAACAGCCCAACUGUUCCCUAUACCUGCUCCCCUUCAGUCCGUUAGCUCUUCUCUCUCGCCUGUAACACUGAGACAAACAUCCCAACUGUUCCCUAUACCUGCUCCCCUUCUUCAGUCCGUUAGCUCUUCUCUCUCGCCUGUAACACUGAGACAAACAUCCUAAUGGUUCGCUGGUUGCACCUCGACAGCCAUAGGGUGCCAUAAGGCUCUGGUCUAAAGUAGUGGACUAUAGAGGGAAUAGGGUGCCAUAAGGCUCUGGUCUAAAGUAGUGGACUAUAGAGGGAAUAGGGUGCCAUAAGGCUCUGGUCUAAAGUAGUGGACUAUAGAGGGAAUAGGGUGCCAUAAGGCUCUGGUCUAAAGUAGUGGACUAUAGAGGGAAUAGGGUGCCAUAAGGCUCUGGUCUAAAGUAGUGGACUAUAGAGGGAAUAGGGUGCCAUGAGGCUCUGGUCUAAAAUAGUGGACUAUAGAGGGAAUAGGGUGCCAUGAAGCUCUGGUCUAAAGUAGUGGACUAUAGAGGGAAUAGGGUGCCAUGAGGCUCUGGUCUAAAGUAGUGGGCUAUUUUAGAUCAAAUCUAAUGUUAUUUGUCACAUGCUUCUUAAACAACAGGUCUAGACUAACAGUGACAUUUUUACAGGCCCGUCCCAACAAUGCAGAGAGAAAUAAUA